AAAAAUUCGUUGCCUCGAGCGGGAUUUGAACUCGCAUCUUUGGGUAUCUAGACCGCCGCUCUACCCAUUGAGCUAUCGAGUCAACGGGGAUUGGUAGCGAGUCUUAUCCAACUUAAGUGCACGAAAUAUUUUCGUGACGACUUAGAAGAUGCGAGUUCAAAUCCCGCUCGAGCCAACGAAUUUUU